rnacentral:rRNA from 1 species
UACGUAGGGUGCGAGCGUUAAUCGGAAUUACUGGGCGUAAAGCGUGCGCAGGCGGUUAUAUAAGACAGUUGUGAAAUCCCCGGGCUCAACCUGGGAAUUGCAUCUGUGACUGUAUAGCUAGAGUACGGUAGAGGGGAUGGAAUUCCGCGUGUAGCAGUGAAAAUGCGUAGAUAUGCGGAGGAACACCGAUGGCGAAGGCAAUCCCCUGGACCUGUACUGACGCUCAUGCACGAAAGCGUGGGGGAGCAAACAGG